rnacentral:rRNA from 1 species
AGAGGUGGCGAGCGUUGUUCGGAAUUACUGGGCUUAAAGGGCGAGUAGGCGGUAGAGCAAGUCUGAGGUGGAAUCCUAUGGCUUAACCAUAGAACUGCCUUAGAAACUGUUUUACUUGAGUCAGUGAGGGGAGGGCGGAAUUCCUGGUGUAGCGGUGAGAUGCGUAGAUAUCAGGAGGAAGGCCUGUGGCGAAAGCGGCCCUCUGGCACUGUACUGACGCUGAGGCGCGAAAGCGUGGGGAGCAAACAGGAUUAGAUACCCUGGUAGUCCACGCCCUAAACGGUGGGCAUUAGGUGUAGGGCUCGUAAGGGUUCUGUGCCGAAGGGAAACCAUUAAAUGCCCCGCCUGGGGAGUACGGCCGCAAGGUUG